rnacentral:rRNA from 1 species
CCAAUAGCGUAUAUUAAAGUUGUUGCAGUUAAAAAGCUCGUAGUUGAAUUUCGGGAUCAAUUUGCCGGUCGAGACCUCUGGUACGUACUUGUAUUAUUGAUUUCUUUCAUUCUGAUAAAUCAUUGAUGUCAUUAAUUUGAUGACUUUGAGGAAUCGGAACUUUUACUUUGAAAAAAUUAGAGUGUUUAAAGCAGGCUUAUUAGGCUUGAAUACAUUAGCAUGGAAUAAUGAAAUAGGACGAUUGAUCCUAUUUUUGUUGGUUUCUAGGAUUGACGUAAUGAUUAAUAGGGAUAGUUGGGGGCAUUAGUAUUCAAUUGUCAGAGGUGAAAUUCUUGGAUUUAUUGAAGACUAACUACUGCGAAAGCAUUUGCCAAGGAUGUUUUCAUUAAUCAAGAACGAAAGUUAGGGGAUCGAAGACGAUCAGAUACCGUCGUAGUCUUAACCAUAAACUAUGCCGACUAGGGAUCGGAUGAUGUUAAUUUUUUUUAAUGACUCAUUCGGCGCCUUACG